rnacentral:rRNA from 1 species
UCAGGACGAACGCUGGCGGCGUGCUUCAUACAUGCAAGUCGAACGAGAAAUUCACUUCGGUGGAUGGAAAGUGGCGGACGGGUGAGUAAUGUGUAGAGAAUCUGCCCUAGAGUGGGGGACAACAGUUGGAAACGACUGCUAAUACCCCAUAUGCGCGUAGUUGAGAUACUAUUCGUGAAAACUCCGGUGCUCUGGGAUGAGUCUGCAUCUGAUUAGCUAGUUGGGGGUGUAAUGGACCACCAAGGCGACGAUCAGUAGCUGGUUUGAGAGGAUGAUCAGCCACAAUGGGACUGAGACACGGCCCAUACUCCUACGGGAGGCAGCAGUAGGGAAUUUUGCGCAAUGGGGGAAACCCUGACGCAGCAACGCCGCGUGACCGAUUAAGCCCUUCGGGGUGUAAAGGUCUGUCAGUGGGGACGAAACCUGACGGUACCCACAGAGGAAGCAUCGGCUAACUCCGUGCCAGCCGCGGC